rnacentral:lncRNA from 1 species
GUUGUUAUUGUUGUCUCUGGUUAGAGCUUGUUACUUUUGUGAUUCUGUUAGCCUCUAUCAGCAGACCUGGGAGACUACCUCUCUCCUGAGUUUCAGUGGUUAGAGUGCUCUCUUCAGGCAAUCUCUCCUCUUGCAGGGAAGGAGGACAGAUAUCUGGUGUUCAAACCUGCCUCCUGGUAGAAGUUGAAGGCCCAUACAAGGGCUUGUCACAGAAUCUGUGUAGCUUCUGUAGUGCACACUCUCAUCUGUGCAGAGUAGUCUCAGUGGGAUCCUGGAAUCAAGAUGUCUCCCCCAGAUGCUGUGGCAAAGCCCUGCGGGUGGGGCGAACACCUCUCCUCUAGCAGGGAGUGUCCCCGAGUGUCCGGAGCCUGGAACAAGAUCUGCUGCAGAAGCUCUGUGGCUUUCGCCUGUCCCAGAAGCUGUUAGCAUCUGCAGUCCACACUCUCACCUGCACAGAUCAGUCUUGGUGGAAUCCGGGAAUCCAAGAUGGCUUCCCCAGCUGCUGUGGUAAAGCCAGAAAAGCAGUCUAUCCCAGAGGAUCUGUGGUUUCUGCCUGACAUAGAAGCUGUUAGCUUCUGUAGUCCACACUCUCAUCUGUGCAGACUAAUCUAGGAUGGAUCCGGGAACCAAGAUGUCUCCCCCAGGUGUUCAGGCCAAAUGGGAGACUAUUGAUGACUGCUUUUAUUUCUUUAGGGGAUAUGAGCUAUUUAGAUCAUUAAUCUGAUCUUGAUUUAAUUUUGGUACCUGGUAUCUGUCUAGGAAGUUGUCCAUUUCAUCCAUGUUUUCCAGUUUUGUUGAGUAUAGCCAUUUGUUGUAGGAUCUGAUGAUGUUUUGGAUUUCCUCAGGUUCUGUUGACAUGUCUCCUUUUUCAUUUCUGAUUUUUAUUAAUUAGGUUACGGUCCUUGUGCCCUCUAGUUACUCUGGCUAAGGGUUUAUCUAUCUUUUUGAUUUUCUCUAAGAACCAGCUCCUGGUUUAGUUGAUUCUUUGAAUAGUUCUUUUUGUUUUCACUUGGUUUAUUUCAGCCCUGAGUUUGAUUAUUCCCUGCCAUCUACUCCUAUUUAGUGAAUUUGCUCUCUUUUGUUAUAGAGCUUUUAGUCCUGUUGUCAAGCUGCUAGUGUUUGCUCUCUCUAGUUUCUUUUUGGAGGCACUCAGGGCUAUAAUUUUUCCUCUUUGGACUGCCUUCAUUGUCUCCCAUAAAUUUGGGAAUGUUAUGGCUUCAUUUUCAUUAGACUGUAAAAGAGUCUUUAAUUUCUUUCUUUAUUUCUCCCUUGCCCAAGGUAUCAUUGAGUAGAGUGUUGUCCAGCUUCCUCAUGAAUGCUGGCUUUCUAUUAUUUAUGGUGUUAUUGAAGAUCAGCCUUAGUCUGUGAUGAUCUGAGAGGUUGUAUGGGAAAAUAUCAAUAUUUUUGUAUCUCUUGAGGCCUGUUGUGACUGUUUAUAUGGUCUAUUUUGGAGGAGGUAACAUUUGAUGCUGAGAAGAAGGUAUAUCCUUUUGUUUUAGGAUAAAAUAUUCUAUAGAUAUCUGUUAAAUCCAUUUGUUUCAUAACUUCUUUUAGUUUGAAUGUGUCUCUCUUUAGUUUCUGUUUUCAGGCACCAUGAAAAUAGCAUAUGAGAGGCUAUUGUUGAAGCCUAGUUGCCGAGGAAGACAGCAGUGUAUUGGCGAUACCAAUACCAAGAGAUAACCACCAAGAACAGCACCAGCAUUGGAGUACAGGCGGCUGAAACCUAGAUGAAAAUAUAUGUGCUACAAAGGGCAGAGCUAGAGGAGUCACGCAAGUCCUUGGAGGACCCCACAAGACAGUGAGUGAAUCUCAGAUAUUAGAGACUUAGAGUUGAUUUGCUUUUGGUAUUGAUUGUGCCCUGAUAUAUUUCCCUCUUUAAGUGAGAAUGUAUUUUACUGGAACCCACAGUAAAGAGACUUUGCAUUGUUGAAAUAUGUUGAAUUUCAAAAGAGGUUGGAUAUUUUGAAGGGAUUGAAAUUUUAGUGUGUAUGAAUAUGUAAUUACUGUUGUAUUUUUUAGUUAUUUAGAUCUUGUGGAUGAAUAAGAAAGUAAGAGUUGAGGCUUAAAAGUGAUGUGUUAUGUUUCAAGGAAACAAGGGGUCAGUAUCAGCACAUGCUGGCUAGGAUCUGGAGAAAGAGGAACACUCCUCCAUUGUUGGCGGGAUUGUAAGCUUGUACAACCACUCUGGAAAUCAUUCUGGCAGUUCUUCUGAAAAGUGGACAUAGUAUUACUGGAUCAUCAAGCACGUCCUCUCCUGGUCAUAUAUCCAGGUGAUGUUUUAACCGGUAAGAAGGACACAUGCUCAACUAUGUUCAUAGCAGCCUUAUUUAUAAUAUCCAGAAGCUGGAAAGAACCCAGAUGCCCCUCAACAUAGGAAUGGAUACAGAAAAUGUGAUAUAUUUACACAAUGGAGUACUACUCACCUAUUAAAAAGAAUGAAUUUGUGUAAUUCCUAGGCAAAUGGAUGGACCUUGAGGCCAUUAUCCUGAGUGAGAUAACCCAAUCACAAAAGAACUCAUAUGAUAUGUACUCACUGAUAAUUGGUUAUUAGCCCAGAACCUUAGAAUAUCGAAGAUACAAUAUAUAAUCUGGAAAACACAUGAAACUCAAGACGAACUAGGAACAAAAUGUGGACACUUUGGCCGUUCUUAAAAUUGGGAGCAAAACACCAAUGGAAGGAGUUACAGAGACAAAGUUUGGAGCUGAGACAAAAGGAUGGACCAUCUAGAGAUUGCCAUACCUGGGGUUCUAUCCAAUAAAUAGCCUCCAAACGCUGACAACAUUGCAUACACUAGCAAGAUUUUACUGAAAGGACCCUGAUAUAGCUGUCUCUUGUUAGGCUAUGUUUGGCCUAGCAAACAAAGAAGUGGAUACUCAAAGUCAGAAUGGAGGAUCUAGAGAAAGUACCCAAGGAGCUAAAGGGAUCUGCAACCCUAUAGGUGGAACAAAAUAUGAACUAACC